GAUGAAGAACGUAGCGAAAUGCGAUAAGUAAUGUGAAUUGCAGAAUUCAGUGAAUCAUCGAAUCUUUGAACGCACAUUGCGCCCCUUGGUAGUCCAUGGGGCAUGCCUGUUCGAGCGUCAUUUGUACCUUCAAGCUUUGCUUGGUGUUGGGUGUUUGUCUCGCCUUUGCGUGUAGACUCGCCUUAAAAUAAUUGGCAGCCGGCGUAUUGAUUUCGGAGCGCAGUACAUCUCGCGCUUUGCACUCAUAACGACAGCGUCCAAAAGUACAUUUUACACUCUUGACCUCGGAUCAGGUAGGGAUACCCGCUGAACUUAAGCAUAUCAAUAAGCGGAGGA
rnacentral:misc_RNA from 1 species